rnacentral:rRNA from 1 species
UAGGGAAUCUUCGGCAAUGGACGAAAGUCUGACCGAGCAACGCCGCGUGAGUGAAGAAGGUUUUCGGAUCGUAAAACUCUGUUGUUAGAGAAGAACAAGGACGUUAGUAACUGAACGUCCCCUGACGGUAUCUAACCAGAAAGCCACGGCUAACUACGUGCCAGCAGCCGCGGUAAUACGUAGGUGGCAAGCGUUGUCCGGAUUUAUUGGGCGUAAAGCGAGCGCAGGCGGUUUCUUAAGUCUGAUGUGAAAGCCCCCGGCUCAACCGGGGAGGGUCAUUGGAAACUGGGAGACUUGAGUGCAGAAGAGGAGAGUGGAAUUCCAUGUGUAGCGGUGAAAUGCGUAGAUAUAUGGAGGAACACCAGUGGCGAAGGCGGCUCACUGGUCUGUAACUGAUGCUGAGGCUAGAAAGCGUGGGGAGCAAACAGG